UGGGGAAUAUUGGGCAAUGGGCGAAAGCCUGACCCAGCGACGCCGCGUGAAGGAAGAAGGUCUUCGGAUUGUAAACUUUAGUCAACAGGGACGAAACAAAUGACGGUACCUGUGGAGGAAGCCACGGCUAACUACGUGCCAGCAGCCGCGGUAAUACGUAGGUGGCAAGCGUUAUCCGGAUUUACUGGGCGUAAAGGGUGUGUAGGCGGUCUGACAAGUCAGGAGUGAAAAUUAUGGGCUCAACCCAUAAACUGCUUUUGAAACUGUCGGUCUUGAGUGUGGGAGAGGUAAAUGGAAUUCCAGGUGUAGCGGUGAAAUGCGUAGAUAUCUGGAGGAACACCGGUGGCGAAGGCGAUUUACUGGACCAUAACUGACGCUGAGACACGAAAGCGUGGGGAGCAAACA
rnacentral:rRNA from 1 species